GGGGUUGUGGCUCAGUGGUAGAGUACUCACCUAGCAUGUGUGAGGCCCUGGGUUCAAUCCUUAGCACCA
rnacentral:tRNA from 1 species